rnacentral:misc_RNA from 1 species
AACGCACAUUGCGCCCGCCAGCAUUCUGGCGGGCAUGCCUGUUCGAGCGUCAUUUCAACCCUCAGGCCCUGCCUGGCGUUGGAGGACUGCGCACCGCAGCCUCCCAAAGCGAGCGGCGGCGGCGCCCCGAAACCGAACGCAGUAGUUACCUCUCGUUCCGGGUCCGGGUCGUUGUCCUGCCGGAAAACCCCCAUCUUAUCAAUGGUUGACCUCGAAUCAGGUAGGAGUUACCCGCUGAACUUAA